UACGUAGGGGGCGAGCGUUGUCCGGAUUUAUUGGGCGUAAAGAGCUCGUAGGUGGUUUGGUGAGUCGGAUGUGAAAUCUCCAGGCUCAACUUGGAGGGGUCAUCCGAUACUGCCAUGACUAGAGUUCGGUAGAGGAGUGUGGAAUUCCUGGUGGAGCGGUGAAAUGCGCAGAUAUCUGGAGGAACACCUAUGGCGAAGGCAGCUCGCUGGGACGUUACUGACGCUGAGACGCGAAAGCGUGGGGAGCAAACAGG
rnacentral:rRNA from 1 species